rnacentral:rRNA from 1 species
CCUACGGGAGGCAGCAGUGGGGAAUAUUGGACAAUGGGGGGAACCCUGAUCCAGCCAUGCCGCGUGUGUGAAGAAGGCCCUCGGGUUGUAAAGCACUUUCAGUGAGGAAGAACGCCUGGUGGUUAAUACCCAUCAGGAAAGACAUCACUCACAGAAGAAGCACCGGCUAACUCCGUGCCAGCAGCCGCGGUAAUACGGAGGGUGCGAGCGUUAAUCGGAAUUACUGGGCGUAAAGCGCGCGUAGGUGGCUUGAUAAGCCGGUUGUGAAAGCCCCGGGCUCAACCUGGGAACGGCAUCCGGAACUGUCAAGCUAGAGUGCAGGAGAGGAAGGUAGAAUUCCCGGUGUAGCGGUGAAAUGCGUAGAGAUAGGGAGGAAUACCAGUGGCGAAGGCGGCCUUCUGGACUGACACUGACACUGAGGUGCGAAAGCGUGGGUAGCAAACAGGAUUAGAUACCCGUGUAGUC